ACGGCCACACCGUCCUGUGAAUACCCAAUCCCGUCUCAUCUCAGAAACUAAUCAGGGCUGGGCCUGGUUAGUACUUGGUGGGAGACCGCUAUGGUAGACCAGAGGCCGUUAGAU
rnacentral:rRNA from 12 species